GUGUCGGUGGUGCAAGGGAUAGAGCAUACGCCUCCGCAGUGAGUGAAAUGUGGGUUCGAGUCCCACCUGACGCA